rnacentral:rRNA from 1 species
UACGAGGGGGGCAAGUGUUGUUCGGAAUUACUGGGCGUAAAGGGAGCGUAGACGAGCUCUUAAGUUGGAUGUUUAAAACCAGAGCCCAACCCCGGCGUGGCAUCCAAAACUAAAAGUCUUGAAUAGAACAGAGGCCAGUGGAAUUAGAGGUGUAGCGGUGGAAUGCGUAGAUAUCUCUAAGAACACCAGUUGCGAAGGCGGCUGGCUGGGUCCACAUUGACGCUGAGGCUCGAAAGCGUGGGGAGCAAACAGG